CACCCCUCACAGCCCUCACAGCCCUCACAGCCCUCACACCCCUCACAGCCCUCACAGCCCUCACACCCCUCACAGCCCUCACAGCCCUCACACCCCUCACAGCCCUCACACCCCUCGCAGCCCUCACAGCCCUCACACCCCUCACAGCCCUCACACUCCUCACAGCCCUCACAGCCCUCACAGCCCUCACAGCCCUCACAGCCCUCACAGCCCUCACACCCCUCACAGCCCUCACACUCCUCACAGCCCUCGCAGCCCUCACAGCCCUCACACCCCUCACAGCCCUCACACUCCUCACAGCCCUCGCAGCCCUCACAGCCCUCACAGCCCUCACAGCCCUCACAGCCCUCACAGCCCUCACAGCCCUCGCAGCCCUCACAGCCCUCACAGCCCUCACAGCCCUCACACUCCUCACACCCCUCACACCCCUCACAGCCCUCAUCCUGGCUCCCUCCUCCACCGUCCUGGGCAAAGAGGCAUUGGGAUGACCAUGGGUGUGUCGUAAGAUGUGAUGAGUGGCAACUACAAGCAGGAAUGCUGCAACCAGCUGGAAGGGACCCCACACCUGGCCAAGGGUACAUGAUGCAUCUCCUGGCCUUGCUACAAAGCCAGACCAGGGGCUAAGACAUGAGCUGCCAACACCCAUAAACUCCUCUGUGUGGGCCAGCAUUUACAGAUAACUGGCCUCUCCACAGCCAGCAAGACUUGAAAUCACUGUCACAUUACUUUUCCACCAAAUACCAUGUUCCUGUUCCCAAGGAAAGGAACUUUUUUUUUUUUUUUUUUUUUUUAAGUGAAAGGAGAAUAGCAGCCAGCUACUAGUGUAAAGAGCAGAAAACUGUGAAAGGGUCCUCUGAGGGAGUUGGUACAGGCUCCAGAUUUCUGUGUUCUGCAGUCUCCUGUUUUCACUGCUCUGUUCUCUGAGCAAGGUGUGAGUCCCUUCCAAGGGAAAGGUUAUCUCCAUAAUAAAUGGACUGGGGGGAGUUGAGAGGAAUAUUGGCUUUGUCAGGAAAGGACAGAUCCAAAGUGAUAUAUUGGAAUAAUUUCAGCAUCCUGGAAAACUCCAGUUUGGCUAUAAUAUUAAUGUUUUUGAAGAUAAGGAACAUUUAUGCAAUAAGCUUGUGGUAGUUCAGUGUGGCCUUGGCAUUGCUUUGGGCUGUGAAACCAUUAUGGACCCUCUGGACUGAAUGCCCUGAACUCCCUGAAUGUCCAUGCUUGACUGCCCUGAGCGUUUUUCCAGCAGUGGGUAAGCAGGUCUGCGAGGAUAGAGAAGCAGGACUGGUGCUGGUGAGGCUGUGCCUGCUGGGAGUGGCGUGGAGGGGGCAGCUGGCUCCUUGGCAGGGGAUGUGUUUACAGGUUGGGGCACCAUUCACAGCACUUCUGCUCCUGAGGGUUAUGGCCUUGGUGAAGUGAGCCCUCCCCUCUGCCAUGGGCCACUCUGUGUGCUGCCUCCCCACGCCAGGCGCCAGAAAGCGCGUGGGGACUCCCCUGCAGCCGGGGCAAGUGUGAGCCCUGGGGGCACCACGGGACGGGGCAGCCUCCCAGUCCUGUGCCAGAGGACGGGGGCACAGGGACCCCCUGCUUUGCAGGCUGCUGUGACCGGCUGCAUGCUCUCGCCACGAGGUUUGCUCCGGAUUCAGGGGAGGGAGAGGCGGGGGUGCCGUGGAGCAGUAGCCAAUCUCUCCAGCAAUCAGAACAACUCAGAGCAUGGGGGGCUUUGCUGCUGCCUCGGAGGUUCCUGCAUCCCUCAUCCACCAAUUCGGGAAAGUUCCCCCCACCAUCCAUGGGCCCGCUGAACCUGGGGAGGGCCUGGGGGGCUUCAGGGGCUCCUCCAGACGCCGGACUGCUCACGUGUGGAAUGCCUGCUCCCUUCCUCGUGACAACUCGAUUGCCCCUGUCCCAUUCGUGUUUCUGCCUGCGGAGCCAUCCCCGCGGGGGGAGACGGAGGCAGUAGGGGAGCACUGUCUUGUUCGGGAAAUGGGAGACGGGGGUUGGGAAGGAGGGAGAAAGGCUUUUGCCAGAGGAAAUCGAUAUCCCGUGAAAAGUAAUUAUUGAAGCAUAAAUUUAUCAUAAGGGUGAUCACCAAUAAAACAUCUCUUGGCGACGUUUUAAUUUAAAAUCAAAUUCGAAAAGGCCCCCCUCCCCCUUCAAAAAAAAAUCCUUAACAAGCAGAAAAAUAACUGCAGCCCUUGGAACACUUCAUUAUACGUUCAAAGAGAGCUCCAUCAUCUCCGCACCGACGCCGGGCUCUGCUCUUCUGAUGGAUCCAAUGCAGCUGAUUUAUGGAAAUGACUUGCAAAUCCAUAAAUGUAGUUUGCAGUGACAGCCGUGCAUAUCACUAGUAAUUCCUUUAAACUAUGCAAAGAAAAAUGAUUCAUAUCUGGUUGGACCCUGCCUUUUCCAAGGGUCGCCACUCCUGAGUCUUGAUGUGUUUGUCUGUAUUGGUUUCCUUCUCGAUUUUUUUUUUUUUAACUCCGUGAUGGAUGAGGCGGAGAUCUUAACACUGAAACUCGGGACCCCGAGACGGCCAGCAAGGGAAGAGUUAAGCCUCUGGGAAGGUGGUUUUGCCCUCCUUCCCCGCGGACACGCGUGGGUCGGACGUGACACACAUUGCCUCACUCGCUGUCGCGUCCCCGCGGCUUUUCUCUGCAAACCCCCGGGUUUCAGCCCCGGGUUCCGAAAGCUUAAUUGUGUUAAUUAAUUAGUCCUCCAUGUGUGGUUGCUGGGUGACUCCGGGGCGGAUGCAGAGGGAUCGGAGAGGUGCAGCCCGGAGGGAUGCGUGCCCAUGCCUCAGUUUCCCCACCUGCAAGAGGGGCGUGACGGGGGCAGCCGGCCCGGGCGAUGCAGCUGCAGCCCCGCUCUGAGGACGCCCCCGAGUGCCCCCUCCCUGGGACUCCCGGUUCUCUCCUCCUUGCAACCCCCAGCGCACAGGGCUGGGCCCUCACACGUCGGACAAGGAUGGAGCAAAAUUAGCGGUUCUCGGAAUUUCUUCAUUGUUUUUCGCAGUUAUCCCAGGAAUCACCAUACUUCCUUCCCCAUUGUAUCCCCAAAGAUCAUCCUCCAGCAGUACCUCUGAUAAUGCAUUUAUUAGGCUUCAUGAUGCAAUAACCACAAGCAGCCAGAAAAUGUAGCAUUUUUCUACAUUAUCAUCCAAUUUCCCUUCCCGGGUAUUUAGUUCAACUCUUUAACACCAGCCACAUAAUUAGAAUUUGGAUUUCCAUUAAUUUUCCUUGAGCCUGCAACCAUUUUAAGAUCACAGUGGUAAUUAACGUGAUACAUCACUAAUUUCACCAAGCACAAUCUAAGUAGGCGCUCCCCCUCCUUCUCGGGGGCAAAGCUGGGGGGAUGGUGAGGGGGACGUCGGGGGUCGGGCGGCCCGGGGCCCCUGCCAGGGUGAUUCUGUCCCCGCCCUGGCCCCGCCGAGGAGCGGAGCGUGUCGUGUCGCAGCCCGGCCCCACCGCAUCCUCCGCGUUCGCUACGGAAAAAUACACUUUUCUUUCCAGUAAAUUUAACAAUUAAAAAUAUUUAUCGGUAGCAGAUUUACGUUGUUGUGUCUCCAGUCUUGGGGCAUAUUGGUAGACUAUUAAGACUAAUUAGCAUCCUUUCUGCAUGCAGAUUUACUAAGCUGAUUGCGGUAUAACUCAUCCCUAAAAGCCCCUAUCCCUUCACAUUUGCAGAAUGUAGCUGAAGGCAAGGCCCUUUCGUCUCUCUCCGAGCUUGCAAGCAGCUCACGUUAGCCGGGCCUUUUGCUAAGUAAACUUUAAAAAUGUGAAGCAAUAACAAUUUGAGUUAGAAUCUUGCAGAGUACUAAAAUGGAAAUAUUACCUCGGGAGCUUCCACAGGAAGGAUCUGGGAGGAAACAAGAAGCUUAAAUGUAUAGAAGCACGCAGCAGAUACAGGCUGUAUAUUCUCAGCAUUAAACCCAGGGCUGUUAUUUUCUUAAAUAUAUUUGGAAAUAAACAAAAGGAUUUCGUACGUGCCUGGGUGGCUGUGUGUUCCUGAAGCCAAACUGCACCGAGGAGAGGAGAGAGAGAGGGAGGAAAAGAGAGAGAAAACGAAGAGUUACAGAAAGUUUGCAAGAUGCAGUUGCAGGGAACAGUUGUUCAUUUUUUCUUUCCUUCUCUGCAUUUUGGGUCUGUUUGAAAGGGGCGGAAUCAGCAGAGUGUUUUGCUGCGCAGCCCCUCAAAUACAACGGGAGGGGAGAUUCGUAGCAUCCUUUGAACCUUACUUUGCAUUUAAAAUAUUUAAAGCGUCCCAGAAGGCUCUGUGAGGCUUUUUCAAGGUGUGGAAAGUAUCGGCUCUUAUGCUUUUAAAAAGCAUACACUGCUGGUUUAUUAUUAACACACUGGGAAGUACAUAAGGCCCACAACUUUAUUCUCUUUAAUGAGCCUGGAAAAGCACGUUGGCCCUGAAG